UGCAAGUCGAGCGGCAGCGCGGGGGCAACCCUGGCGGCGAGCGGCGAACGGGUGAGUAAUACAUCGGAACGUGUCCAGUAGCGGGGGAUAACCUGUCGAAAGAUAGGCUAAUACCGCAUACGACCUACGGGUGAAAGCGGGGGACCGCAAGGCCUCGCACUAUUGGAGCGGCCGAUGUCGGAUUAGCUAGUUGGCGGGGUAAAAGCCCACCAAGGCGACGAUCCGUAGCUGGUCUGAGAGGACGACCAGCCACACUGGAACUGAGACACGGUCCAGACUCCUACGGGAGGCAGCAGUGGGGAAUUUUGGACAAUGGGCGCAAGCCUGAUCCAGCCAUGCCGCGUGAGUGAAGAAGGCCUUCGGGUUGUAAAGCUCUUUCGGCGGGGACGAAACGGUCCGUGACAACACCACGGACUAAUGACGGUACUCGCAGAAGAAGCACCGGCUAACUACGUGCCAGCAGCCGCGGUAAUACGUAGGGUGCAGGCGUUAAUCGGAAUUACUGGGCGUAAAGCGUGCGCAGGCGGCUCCUUAAGUCAGAUGUGAAAUCCCCGGGCUUAACCUGGGAACUGCGUUUGAAACUGAGGGGCUUGAGUGUGGAAGAGGGGGGUGGAAUUCCAGGUGUAGCAGUGAAAUGCGUAGAGAUCUGGAGGAACACCGAUGGCGAAGGCAGCCCCCUGGGCUAACACUGACGCUCAUGCACGAAAGCGUGGGGAGCAAACAGGAUUAGAUACCCUGGUAGUCCACGCCCUAAACGAUGUCAACUGGUUGUCGGGGAAGUUAUUCCUUGGUAACGAAGCUAACGCGUGAAGUUGACCGCCUGGGGAGUACGGCCGCAAGGUUAAAACUCAAAGGAAUUGACGGGGACCCGCACAAGCGGUGGAUUAUGUGGAUUAAUUCGAUGCAACGCGAAAAACCUUACCUACCCUUGAC
rnacentral:rRNA from 1 species